rnacentral:lncRNA from 1 species
GUACAUGCUCAUCUGGUUGAGGACUGUUUACGCUUCCAGUCCCAAACAGAUAUUUUACCCCAGUUAAAAAUAGCUCCUCACACAAGGGCUGAAAACAGGCUCCUUCUCUGAGCACUUCCUCAGGCGGGUUCUCAGCCUCCCCCUGAAUCAUCGUCCCUG